CAAAUAUCCAGCAAAGUUAGAGAAAGUUAGAAGGCUUGGAGUAUAACCGUAAGUGACAGCAAGAGCAGUUCCUACUCCCCAUAGGAAGUAAGUAAGAGAGUUCCAAGCUCUAGGCAGCAAGAGUUUUUUUUCGAAUUCAUCCCCUCAUCAGGGGCGUCUUCGCGCGUCGUUUAAGACCAAAUCAAGGAAAACCUUCGGCUAAGGAAAUAUCUUUUGAGGUUGAGCGUGUACGAGGAGGCAAAGGUGUUGGGUAAUGGUUUUUUUAAUAAGUAGCAAUAGGUAGUCCAAAGUAGUGUAUCUUCACACAUGCUACUUUGUCUUAGACUCUUCCGCUGC